UGCAAGUCGAACGGUAACAUGGAUUGCUUGCAAUCUGAUGACGAGUGGCGCACGGGUGCGUAACGCGUAUGCAAUCUACCUUUUACAGGAGAAUAGCCCAGAGAAAUUUGGAAUAAUGCUCCAUAAUAUCAUUUAUCAGCAUUGGUUUAUGAUUAAAGCUCCGGCGGUAAAAGAUGAGCAUGCGUUCUAUUAGCUAGUAGGUGAGGUAACGGCUCACCUAGGCUACGAUAGAUAGGGGCCCUGAGAGGGGGAUCCCCCACACUGGUACUGAGACACGGACCAGACUCCUACGGGAGGCAGCAGUGAGGAAUAUUGGACAAUGGAGGAAACUCUGAUCCAGCCAUGCCGCGUGCAGGAUGACUGCCCUAUGGGUUGUAAACUGCUUUUAUAUAGGAAGAAACACUCCCACGUGUGGGGGCUUGACGGUACUAUAUGAAUAAGGAUCGGCUAACUCCGUGCCAGCAGCCGCGGUAAUACGGAGGAUCCAAGCGUUAUCCGGAAUCAUUGGGUUUAAAGGGUCCGCAGGCGGCCUGUUAAGUCAGAGGUGAAAUCCUACAGCUCAACUGUAGAACUGCCUUUGAUACUGAUAGGCUUGAGUUAUUGUGAAGUGGUUAGAAUGUGUGGUGUAGCGGUGAAAUGCUUAGAUAUCACACAGAAUACCCAUUGCGAAGGCAGAUCACUAACAAUAUACUGACGCUCAUGG
rnacentral:rRNA from 1 species